AUUGAACGCUGGCGGCAGGCCUAACACAUGCAAGUCGAGCGGAUGAAGGGAGCUUGCUCCUGGAUUCAGCGGCGGACGGGUGAGUAAUGCCUAGGAAUCUGCCUGCUAGUGGGGGAUAACGUCCGGAAACGGGCGCUAAUACCGCAUACGUCCUGAGGGAGAAAGUGGGGGAUCUUCGGACCUCACGCUAUCAGAUGAGCCUAGGUCGGAUUAGCUAGUUGGUGGGGUAAAGGCCUACCAAGGCGACGAUCCGUAACUGGUCUGAGAGGAUGAUCAGUCACAAUGGAACUGAGACACGGUCCAGACUCCUACGGGAGGCAGCAGUGGGGAAUAUUGGACCAUGGGCGAAAGCCUGAUCCAGCCAUGCCGCGUGUGUGAAGAAGGUCUUCGGAUUGUAAAGCACUUUAAGUUGGGAGGAAGGGCAGUAAGUUAAUACCUUGCUGUUUUGACGUUACCAACAGAAUAAGCACCGGCUAACUUCGUG
rnacentral:rRNA from 1 species